GACGUUUCUAUGGAUGCUGUGAGAGUGGUGCUAACUGCACGCCGAACGGAUAACGAGGUGCAAUGGAGUCAUUUGGAGCGAAAGAAGAAGAAUGUACUCGUAUGAAGCAAAAAGGACGGAAUGUUCAUUUCAUAUGCUGGUGAUACUUGCAGCGUAGCCGUGGAUAAGGGACAACCAGCUAAAGUCCAAGAAGAAAUGCUAACGGCAGACAUUCAGUUACUGAGGGCGCCUCCAUUGGGUGAAUCUUCAAGUGGGGCGUUUUAAUUUAUUUCCUAGCAGUACAAGAUCGAGAGAAGGAAACUAGGUUUCCAUUUUCCCCAAUUUUCAUUACAGUAGCACGGAACCAUUGCAGCUGCUACCGGCAACAAUGAAAUCAGAUGGGAAAUUUAUGAAGAUUAGUAGAAAUGGAAGCUAGUAAAGAAGAAUUUGAUGGGUGAUUCAGAGUUCGUGAAGAAUUAAAAGCUAGGGUUUGUGUUGGAAUUGAACCUCAACAAGAGAUCCUGUGCUGGUGAUUGAGAAAUGAAUUAAAGGGUUUUGAUGGAUUUCAGAAAUGAAGAAGAAGACUAAGAUGGGUUGAAUUUGUUACAGCAAUCUGUGCUCGAGAAGUUGGAUAAAUGGAAGUGGUGGUACGAAUUGUACAGACAGAGAAGAUAGUGGAGAUACAGUCGUUGUCUGAUGCUUUAAUGGUGUUCUCAGGAGCUGUUGGUGGAAUCAUAAAAAGAUUAGAAGAAAUCAGCAUGGGUUUUGUGGACAUCAGUUGGGAAAUGGAGUUGCUGCUGCCAUUUAGUAGAUGUGUGUUUAACAGAAAUUGGUAUUUGAGCUCAGAAGGAAGGUGGAGAUGAAGUUAGUUGUUGAUAAGUGAGAUAAGAAAAUGAAAGCAGUAGGAGCUGGUUUGCAGGCAUGUGUAGCCGCAAGUUGAAAUGGUUUUGUUGGUCUAAGAAGAGAAUGGAAAUACUGGUUGUUGUUACAGGAAAAUGGGUUCAAGCUGAAAUUGCUGGAGGUAUUGAACUGCAGAUGAGUGGUGGUUAUGAUCUGCAGUUCAAGGCACUGGUGAUGGAGCAUAUGAAGAGCUUAAAUGGAAUUGGAAGAGAUGUGAAUGUAUAAAGUACAGGUGAUGGCAGUGAUUGCAGGUCAGCUGAAUGGGAUGGAGUUGCUGCCAUGUGCAAUACAGGGAAGAUCAAGGAGAUGCUGAGUUGCAGCUGUUGCAGGGAGCUUAAAUUCGCUGCGACAGUGCAUCAAGCCUAGAAGCAAGAAAUUAUGCAGGUGAUCUGGUGAUGAGUCUGUGCAUUACAGGAAAUUAUGAAGUUGCAAGUGCAGUUCAAAGAAGAAGAAGGGUAUUAGGCUGAUUCUGUUGCUAAUGGAGUUGUGAGUUGAUCUGUAGUUUGUGACCACGAAAUGAAGACUGGUGCUGCUGUUGCUAUUAUCAAUAGGUGGAUUGCUGCCAUUGUUAGGAAGAAUCUGAGAAGAGUAUGGCAGUUCAUCUGGCAUCGAUUAGAGGAGAAGCUGAAAUGGGUUGUUGUUGGCCGAGAAACUUGAGCUGAAGUUAUAGGAGCUAGUGCUGACUAAAUGGAAGAGAAUGUAUGAACUGUAGUUGUUGUGGCUAGCUAGUCUAGGUUAGAUAUUGAAGUGCAAUGAAUGUAUAAACUCAGAGCAUGGGUCUGUCUUGCUGUUACUGCAGUUGGCUAAGCAAGGGAUGCAGUGGAGGAAUUCUGGUGGAUAUUGCAGCUGGAGUUGAAGCAAUUGCAGGUGGUACUUCAAGUUCUGAAUAUGAAGUGGCAGCUGAGCUGCAAGUGGUGGUUGUAAUGACUUGAGGUGAUACCGCAAUGAAAAUUGAGUCGAAUGUUGCAGUGGUGGAUUGAACCGAAGGCUUGGAUCUGAAAUGGGUAUUGCUGAUGAAGUUGAUAUGAAAUGAUGAACUGGUGGAGUUUCGAAGCUGCAAAGCAAGAGGAAAAUGGGUGUUUGCUGUGCCGGUUUGAGAAAUGGAUGAUACAGGACUUGAUGACUUUGAGCUGAAACUCAGCUGGUAGUAAGUUGUUUCUGUGAAGUGAACUGCAGAUAGGGUUACUAAUGGAGUCAAGAAACCAGAUAAGAAGAUGUUACAGGCUGAGUCUCAGGUAGCAGUGAGAGAUGAUGCAGGUUGAUGGGGAAAUGGUACGGAGCUGCAGAGAACGAAGUUGGAAUAUGAAUCGCAGAAUGAUAUUGCAAUUGAAGAAUGAAGUGGUUUCGUUGGUGCAGUGCUUGGACUGGCAGGAUGUAGUGAAUUGAGAUGUCACAGGGAAUGAUCUGUUGUAAUUAAAUGGGUCUGAGAUGAUUGCAAGAAGAAGUCGCAGAAGGUUAGAUUGGCAAUGAAGUUGAAAUGGUUCGAGUUGGAGGAACUGAUAGGUUUGUUUAUGCACAGGGAAGUGAGUUGUUUGUUGUUGGUACGAGGCAAUAAAGAGAAACAAUGAGUGUGUAUGAAUGAAUGCUUGACGUCUUGGAAUGAAUGUUUUGUUUCCUGGAUUGAGAAAUUGCAGGGGAGGAGAGUUGAGCCACAGCCGAAAGUGUAAGGUGGAAUUUGCCUUGUCAGUUUCACAAAACUGACAGGCAUAUGAAGUAAUGGACUUAUGGGUUGUUCUAAUUGGGCCAAAGUUCAGGCGAGCAAGUGGGUCGAAAGUUCAGGCGAGCAAGUGGCUUGUAUUUAGAAAUGGUAAAAGUCAUAGAAGGGUAUAAAAAAGGGGAGGAUCUUAUCUUUUAUCGGGGAUCUCAUUUUUCUACUUUUAUUCUAGGGUUUACAACAUGGUACGUUUUCUCUUCAUUCUUGUGAUGAACUCCAUUAUGCUUACCUAGUUUUUUUUUGGUUAAGGAAUAAGUUGGAUUUCCAAACA